rnacentral:rRNA from 1 species
UAGAGUUUGAUCCAUGGCUCAGGACGAACGCUGGCGGCGUGCCCUAAUACAUGCAAGUCGAGCGGAGUUUAUCCUUCGGGAUAAGCUUAGCGGCGGACGGGUGAGUAACACGUAGGCAACCUGCCCCUUAGCCUGGGAUAACUACCGGAAACGGUAGCUAAUACCGGAUAAUCCCUUUCCUCGCCUGAGGGAAGGAUAAAAGGCGGAGCAAUCUGCUGAUAAGGGAUGGGCCUGCGGCGCAUUAGCUAGUUGGUGAGGUAACGGCUCACCAAGGCGACGAUGCGUAGCCGACCUGAGAGGGUGAACGGCCACACUGGGACUGAGACACGGCCCAGACUCCUACGGGAGGCAGCAGUAGGGAAUCUUCCGCAAUGGGCGAAAGCCUGACGGAGCAACGCCGCGUGAGUGAUGAAGGUUUUCGGAUCGUAAAGCUCUGUUGCCAGGGAAGAACGUCCGGUAGAGUAACUGCUACCGGAG